CUGGGAAUUGAGCUCGGACUAACUGCUUUGCUGAGUGAGUCAGAAUACCGGAGACAACAACUACUUCAAACGUACAAUAACGUGACGUAAAGUUGUAUUUGGAUCAGCUGGCUGUGACCUGUUCUCUCCGUCGUCAUCGAAGAUUUAGUAUAAAACGAGGCGUUUAUGGAACACAGACAUCAGUUCAACCUGAAAAUUGUUACAAUGAAAUUCUUCGCCUUCUUCACGUUGUUCGUGUGCGCCAUCUUGGCUCUGGCCAGCGGUGGAGAGGUGUACUACAGACAGGUGCGCAGCCCAGUGCCUGUCCAGGACGCAGCGCCAGCACCAGGCCACCACCACCACCAUCACCACUACGGAUACGGCUACGGAUACCACUGAUAUGGAAGUGAUUGGCUAUUGAUUGAUUAAAAAUUUUGUUAAGUUUACGAUUGGGUUAUUGUUUAGUAUGAGGUAUAAUAAUAAAAUAUUUUGUAGUUAA